AUACCUGCGGCAGCUUACCAUGCAAGUCGAACGGUACAGGAGGAAGCUUGCUUUCUUGCUGACGAGUGGCGGACGGGUGAGUAAUGCUUGGGAAUCUGGCUUAUGGAGGGGGAUAACUACUGGAAACGGUAGCUAAUACCGCGUAAUGUCUACGGACUAAAGGGUGGGACCGUUUGGCCACCUGCCAUAAGAUGAGCCCAAGUGGGAUUAGGUAGUUGGUGAGGUAAGGGCUCACCAAGCCGUCGAUCUCUAGCUGGGCUGAGAGGAUGACCAGCCACACUGGAACUGAGACACGGUCCAGACUCCUACGGGAGGCAGCAGUGGGGAAUAUUGCACAAUGGGGGGAACCCUGAUGCAGCCAUGCCGCGUGAAUGAAGAAGGCCUUUGGGUUGUAAAGUUCUUUCGGUGACGAGGAAGGCGGGUAUUUUAAUAGAAUACUCGAUUGACGUUAAUCACAGAAGAAGCACCGGCUAACUCCGUGCCAGCAGCCGCGGUAAU
rnacentral:rRNA from 1 species